rnacentral:rRNA from 1 species
UACGUAGGGGGCGAGCGUUGUCCGGAUUUAUUGGGCGUAAAGCGCGCGCAGGCGGUGCGGUAAGUCUGUCGUGAAAUCUCCCGGCUCAACUGGGAGGGUGCGGUGGAGACUGCCGGACUAGAGGCACUCAGAGGCCGGUGGAAUUCCCGGUGUAGUGGUGAAAUGCGUAGAGAUCGGGAGGAACACCAGUGGCGAAGGCGGCCGGCUGGGGGUGCCCUGACGCUGAGGCGCGAAAGCGUGGGGAGCGAACCGG